AGGUCAUGGUGUGGGAAAUUUCUAAGAAGACCUUUGUGCCUUUCCCAAGCUUCAUAAAGAGAUUCCCCGGGUUGUUGCUCGAAUUUGGCGAUGGCUUUCUUCAACUU